CCUCCCGCCCCGGCGCCGCCUGCUCUAACCGCUUCGGGCGCGGCGGCAGCGGUUUGGCGCUGCCUGGAGCCCCGGGUCUCGGUUCCUGUGGAAUCUAUAACAGAAAUUGAAUCUCCUGCGUGGGAGAAUGGAGCUUCCAGUUCCCUGUCGUCCACUCAGAGUACGGGAGGGGCCUUUGGACAAACCCUAGGAUUCAUGCCACACAGUCAUGUCCUCAGCCUGCAGGAAGUGGACAACACGAGGAGAAAGCUAGUUUUCUCUUAGAAAACUAAGAAAACCCAGGCUUCCCCUCAGCGACAAAUGUCAAAGCACACAUCUGAGAGGUUUUCCACUGAAUGACUUGCACAUAAACCCCUCUAGUUUGUUUUAAUUUGAAAAAAUAUUUACACGAUUCUUAGAAACAAUGUUUUCAGUAUAAAGUCAUAUUUGUAGCAGCCUAUUGUCAUUUGUCAUUUGUUAAUUGCCAUUUAAAAAAUCAAAAAAACCUCCAACAGUUUAAGUGAAUUGUAGGCCGGGGUGUAGCUCGGUGGGGGACCCUUGCCUAGUGCGUGUGAUCCCCUGGGUUCCAUCCCCAGCACUGGGACAAAAACAGCAAUCAAGCAGGGCUUAAUUUUGUUUUAUUGCAUUAAGUCAACCCAAGUCAUAAAACUGGGUUCUGGGAGCUCGGAAAUGAGACUAUGCUACUCCACACACCUGGACCUUUCCUGAUUUGAAAAAAGAAAAGUCUGUAUUUUAAGCGUGAAUUCAACUCAAAAUGGCAUGCUGUUUAUGGAUAAGGCGUGAUUUUUAUAUCUACGUAACUAUG
rnacentral:lncRNA from 1 species